rnacentral:rRNA from 1 species
GUGUCAGCAGCCGCGGUAAUACGAACUGUGCGAACGUUAUUCGGAAUCACUGGGCUUAAAGGGUGCGUAGGCGGUUAUCUAAGUCAGGUGUGAAAUCUCUCGGCUCAACCGGGAAACUGCGCUUGAAACUGGAUGACUGGAGUGAUGCAGGGGUGUGUGGAACUUCCGGUGGAGCGGUGAAAUGUGUAGAUAUCGGAAGGAACGCCAGCAGCGAAAGCGGCACACUGGGCAUUUUCUGACGCUGAGGCACGAAAGCUAGGGGAGUGAACGGGAUUAGAUACCCCGGUAAUCCUAGCCGUAAACACUGAGCACUGGGGGAGGGAGGCUUCGGCCUUCUUUCCCGUAGCGAAAGCGUUAAGUGCUCCGCCUGGGGAGUAUGGUCGCAAGGCUGAAACUUAAAUGAAUUGACGG